UACCGGAAUUACUGGGCGUAAAGCGCAUGCAGGUGGUUUGUUAAGUCAGAUGUGAAAGCCCGGGGCUCAACCUCGGAAUUGCAUUUGAAACUGGCAGACUAGAGUACUGUAGAGGGGGGUAGGAAUUUCAGGUGUAGCGGUGAAAAUGCGUAGAGAUCUGAAGGAAUACCGGUGGCGAAGGCGGCCCCCUCGGACAGAUACUGACACUCAGAUGCGAAAGCGUGGGGAGCAAACAGGAUUAGAUACCCUGGUAG
rnacentral:rRNA from 1 species